rnacentral:rRNA from 1 species
CGCGUAGGCGGUUUGUUUAGUUAGGCGUGAAAUUCCUGGGCUUAACCUGGGGACUGCGCUUAAUCAGGCAGACUUGAGUUCGGAAGAGGGUCGUGGAAUUCCCAGUGUAGAGGUGAAAUUCGUAGAUAUUGGGAAGAACACCGGUGGCGAAGGCGGCGACCUGGUCCGAUACUGACGCUGAGGCGCGAAAGCGUGGGGAGCAAACA